rfam:Loxodonta africana unplaced genomic scaffold scaffold_1, whole genome shotgun sequence.
AUCACUUGGGCAUCUUGUUAAAAUGCAGAUUCUGAUUCAGUAGGUCUGAGUGGUCCUGACAUUCUUCAUUUCUAACAAGCUCCCAGGUGCUACUGG